rnacentral:rRNA from 1 species
UACAGAGGUGGCAAGCGUUGUUCGGAAUUACUGGGCGUAAAGGGCGCGUAGGCGGCCCGUCAAGUCCCGUGUGAAAGCCCCCGGCUCAACCGGGGAACUGCACGGGAAACUAGCAGGCUUGAGUUCGGGAGAGGGAAGCGGAAUUUCGGGUGUAGCGGUGAAAUGCGCAGAUAUCCGAAGGAACACCGGUGGCGAAGGCGGGUCUCUGGGCCGAUACUGACGCUGAGGAGCGAAAGCGUGGGGAGCGAACAGG